UCAUCAUGGCAAACAUGUGGCCAUCGCGCGGCUGCCCCGCUUGUCUCGUCUAGGAUCUGCGCCGAAUUGGAGCAUCGUCUGUGCUUGCAUUGUUGAAUGAACAAUGCAAGCGUAUUGCACUGCCCGUUGGUGAUAGUGUGAGGCAGCAAGUCAUCUGGCUGCUUGUAGUGGCCACCACUGCAGUGUGUGCAGUGGCAUCGUGAAAUGUGAGGCAGCGAGUCAUCUGCCCCAGUUUGGUUGCUGCAUGUGGUGGUGCGUGUAGUGAUGUUGUGAGUCGCCAUCUCUGAGAGUGAGCAAGCGUGCUGCACUUGCCCGUUGGUGGAUUUGUGAGGCAGCAAGUCAUCUGCCCCAGGUUAGUUGCUGCGUGGAGUGGUGCGUGCGGUGAGCAUCGUCGCCGUCUGUGUGAGUGAGCUGGGCACUGUACCACAAGUGCUUCGUGGGACAGUGUAGAUGCAUCAGUUAUGUUUGUGAGUGAAUCGCGGAAACAAUUGCCGAUGGCCUUUUUGUUGUCGAGCGAGAAGUGUGUUGCUCCAUCUGUAGCCAAAAUGUAACAGGACAAUCGGAGAUGACUGGAGAAAUGCUUCUUUGGAUGGCUGGAGUAUUGGGUGCUAAUAACCGCGCAUACGAGAGUGGCAGUGCCACAUUUUCUGUGCGAUUAUGGAUUGAUUGCAGCAUACGUCUUGGAUUCUGACACUUUUAAGGUAAUUGGAUUGGCUGUAGUUGUAGUAUUGAUUAUCAUCUUAAUGUGGUUUUCUUUUCUUUUCAUGCAUGGAUUCUUUUGUUUCAUUUUGUUGCUGAGCGUCGCUGGCAUUCCAGAAUGCGAUUUUAAAAGAGUCGCCAUUCUGGUUGCCAGUACGUUUUAAUGGUAAUACUGUCCCUUCAGCACGUAGACUGAAGGUUUAUUUUUAUUUUUCCUUUUUAUAUUACAAUUUUUCUGCAACUUCUAGGAAUUAUUUGAAUAUUGAAGAUUGGCGGGCAAACUUAACAGUGAGCAAUGUUAAAAUGUAGUGGCAACGCUUAUUAUAAAAUACUGGGGUUAACAUAAAUAUUGAGUUACCAAUUCUGGUUGCAUACAUACAAUACAUUUGGAAGAGAAAUGACAAUUACGUGGUGACAAUAUUUGAGUGGCAACGAUAGAAUAUACUAGAUUGAACAUGGAAUUAUUUAGUAACAAUUUCUGGUAACACUACGUUUGGAAAAGGUAAACAAACAACAC